rnacentral:rRNA from 1 species
ACGUAGGUGGCAAGCGUUGUCCGGAUUUAUUGGGCGUAAAGGGAGCGCAGGUGGUUUCUUAAGUCUGAUGUGAAAGCCCACGGCUUAACCGUGGAGGGUCAUUGGAAACUGGGAAACUUGAGUACAGAAGAGGAAUGUGGAACUCCAUGUGUAGCGGUGGAAUGCGUAGAUAUAUGGAAGAACACCAGUGGCGAAGGCGACAUUCUGGUCUGUUACUGACACUGAGGCUCGAAAGCGUGGGGAGCAAACAGG